UAUAAAAUAAGGUCCUCAAGGGAAGUGACCAACCCCAUUUGCAGCCUUAGUUGACCUUUAAGCGCCAUUUAAUAGUUACUACCCGGCGGGGGUUUAAUCCAUAAGCUCGGUCUUAGCCCUGCACGGUUAUUGGGAUUGAGGGGUUCCUUCAGACUUCCUUUCAGCACCUCUGAAGAACUAGAAUCCUGUGGAAUGGAUUCUGAGACAGUAGUGCAUAAUGGGGGGUGCCACUGCAGGAAUGUAAGGUGGCGGGUCCACUCUCCCACUAGCGUUGUAGCCUGGGAUUGCAACUGUUCUGACUGCUUCAUGAGGGCUAACACCCACUUUAUACUCCCUGCUGAAAGGUUUUAGCUUCUGGGAGAUUCCAAACAGUUUCUUACAACCUAUACCUUUGGCACUCAUACAGCAAAGCACACAUUUUGUAAAGCUUGUGGCAUUACUUCAUUUUAUUUUCCACGUUCAAACCCAGAUGGAGUUGCAGUGACGUUUAGGUGUGUAGAUCCUGGAACACUAACCCAUGUUGAGAUUAAGCAUUUUGAUGGGAGAAAUUGGGAGAGCUCAUACAAUCAGACUGGCAUAGCCUCACUCUCAAAUGUGCAAAAUCAGUCAAGUGAAGGGCCAAAGUGAUAUCCACCAAUAUGUACUCAAAUCAGUUUAAUUCUGAGAACAAGCUGCCAAUGGAAACAAUGAGCAUGCUUUGGAAGUUGACACCAUUUUAAAUUUCAGAAUGUUAAAAGGGAUGGUUAGGGGUUUGGGGUUUUGGAAUCUACUUCAUGAACUUCUUCUGAACUUAUGGAAUCUGUUACUUGCAAUGGAGUUGACUUUAUAUAUA